AUGCAAACAGUCCUAGAUGUUAGACAGAAUUAUCCCUAGUGAGCAAGCCUGAGGCGACUGAGGCGACUGUGGCAAGGAAAAACUCCCU